UACGGAGGGGGCUAGCGUUGUUCGGAAUUACUGGGCGUAAAGCGCGCGUAGGCGGACCUGCAAGUCGGGGGUGAAAGCCCGAGGCUCAACCUCGGAACUGCCUUCGAUACUGCGGGUCUCGAGUCCGGGAGAGGUGAGUGGAAUUCCUAGUGUAGAGGUGAAAUUCGUAGAUAUUAGGAAGAACACCAGUGGCGAAGGCGGCUCACUGGCCCGGUACUGACGCCUGAGGCGCGAAAGGCCGUGGGGAGCAAACAGG
rnacentral:rRNA from 1 species